rnacentral:lncRNA from 10 species
AUGGAGAAGAAAUAAGAUGAACUGCUUGUCCCAGAAAGCGAUAGAACUUUGAAAGCAGCUAUAUAUUUCCUAGCUACCUCUAAAAAAUGGAGCUGUCUUCAUGAGACCUGUAAGAAGCCAACAGUUUUCCUCACUGCCACCAUGUGAAGAAGGAUGUGUUUGUUUCCCUUCCUUCAUGAUUAUCAAAUGGAGGUUCCCAUGAUUUUCUUUUUCCUCAUGGAAACAUGUUUGGUCAGAAGGGAAACAAACCAAUUAAGGUGAUACCAAAGGAUGAUCCUUGAUACAGUUGUAUUUUGGUGGAGCGUUGAGAUUCGCCAGUGAACUCUAACAGUGAGGAUGGCACUGGAAUAAAAAGAGAAGAAACAUGUACUAGAAGCCAAAAAA